UUCAAUUUGGCAGAAUAAAUGCAAUAAAUUUAGAAUUUAUUUAUGAAAAAAAUUUUUUUCAAUUGAAA
rnacentral:tRNA from 1 species